GGUAAAAAUGGAGCAGACAGACAGAGAUGUAAGAUGGAGGAGGGCAAACUGUAAGUGAGGUGCAGCAGGGAGGAAGGGAGGAGGAAGGGAGGGAGGGAUCAGUCAGAAGCAAUGGAGGCUUGAGCAGGAGAGGAGCGAUGAAGGUAGGUACUGAUGCAGAAAUAGAGAUACACAUUUAAAAGAGUAAAGGACUCUAGAUAAUCUAUGGGCAUAUCUGAAUAUGUAAAUGCAGGAUAUUCCAUCUUUUAAUGAAAUAGAAUUAAAUAGAAUUUUGCACCGUAUCAACUAUAAAUGAGCAUACAGGUUGGCUUCAUAUGUCUGAAUUUUUUAAGAUGACAUUUUUGUCUGUUUCUUAGAUAAGACAGGGAUUGGACAGAGUCAGCAAUCUGGAAAAAAUGAUGAAGACAACAUGCAAGAAAAGGGCUAAAGGCUGGAGUCUGACGAGGACUGAUGCAGCAACAGCUAAGCCUCUGUGUAUGGCAUGCGUGCUUUAAACCACUGCGCCCAACCCAAACAAAUUCUUUGUAAAACUUAGUGUCUUGCACAUUUCUGCAGAGCUAUACGACUUCUGCAUCUCGUGAUUAACACGCAGAGCCAACAUUAGUUACAAUAACAAAAGAGGACAUGUGUGCAUUAUGUGCCAGAACAGAAAAUCUGAAUAAGAGGCCAUAAAAAGG